CCUACGGGCGGCUGCAGUGGGGAAUAUUGCACAAUGGGCGCAAGCCUGAUGCAGCCAUGCCGCGUGUGUGAAGAAGGCCUUCGGGUUGUAAAGCACUUUCAGCGGGGAGGAAGGCGGUGAGGUUAAUAACCUCAUCGAUUGACGUUACCCGCAGAAGAAGCACCGGCUAACUCCGUGCCAGCAGCCGCGGUAAUACGGAGGGUGCAAGCGUUAAUCGGAAUUACUGGGCGUAAAGCGCACGCAGGCGGUCUGUCAAGUCGGAUGCGAAAUCCCCGGGCUCAACCUGGGAACUGCAUUCGAAACUGGCAGGCUAGAGUCUUGUAGAGGGGGGUAGAAUUCCAGGUGUAGCGGUGAAAUGCGUAGAGAUCUGGAGGAAUACCGGUGGCGAAGGCGGCCCCCUGGACAAAGACUGACGCUCAGGUGCGAAAGCGUGGGGAGCAAACAGGAUUAGAUACCCGUGUAGUC
rnacentral:rRNA from 1 species